GCGAAUAAAUUAAAAUUUUGAAAGUUUGAAAUAAAAAAUAAAUAAUGUAAAAAAUUAAACUUUUUCAUUCCAAUAAAUAAUUUACUUCUUUUAUCUUACUCUCUCGCUUCGUAAUUAAUUUCGAUUCGGAGUGGGUCCAAUACGGUUAUAUUCUUUUGAACAGCGAUUAUAUUCUUCUGAAUUGUUUGAGUUUCGGUGACGAAGUUAGGGAUAAAUCAAAUAAUGAUUAUGGAUACAUUACAGAAACCUCUUAUAAAUAUUCGUUUUUUUAUUUUUGCUCGCUAACUUUCAAAAAUAUAUAUUUUACUCACUCGAUAUUUUAAAAUUAUUGCAUUCAACCCCAACAUUAGGGUUCCACCACUAUUCAAUUCAUUCAUUAUAAUUUAUACCAAAAACAUCACUCAAAAUAAUAAAAAUAUAUUAAAAAUUUAUUUUUUAUAGAAAAAAGUAAGAAUAAUCUGGUCAUUUUACUCUCUAUAUUAAUAUCAUAUCUCCGAAAUAAAAAAUCGAAUAUAAAAUUUUAAAAAUAAAAAAAAUACAAAAAAAUAAGUAUAAAAAAAUUUUCUUUAAUUUAGC
rnacentral:lncRNA from 1 species